GGACGAACGCUGGCGGCGUGCUUCAUACAUGCAAGUCGAACGAGAAGUCACCUUCGGGUGAUGGAAAGUGGCGGACGGGUGAGUAAUGUGUAGAGAAUCUGCCCUUGAGUGGGGGACAACAGUUGGAAACGACUGCUAAUACCCCAUAUGAUGCGAUGCUGCAUGGCAUUGCAUUGAAAGAUUCAUCGGUGGCGGAUAGGCUCGCGGGACAUUAGCUAGACGGCGGGGCAACGGCCCACCGUGGCGACGAUCAGUAGCCGGUCUGAGAGGAUGAACGGCCACACUGGAACUGAGACACGGUCCAGACUCCUACGGGAGGCAGCAGUGGGGAAUCUUCCGCAAUGGGCGAAAGCCUGACGGAGCAACGCCGCGUGAGUGAUGACGGCCUUCGGGUUGUAAAACUCUGUGAUCCGGGACGAAAAGGCAGAGUGCGAAGAACAAACUGCAUUGACGGUACCGGAAAAGCAAGCCACGGCUAACUACGUG
rnacentral:rRNA from 1 species